ensembl:lncRNA
AUUUCUUCUCAUCAUAUCCCAUCAAAGCUGAUCUUUUCAACUAUGGACGAGGGCCUUCUAGCUCUGCUAAGCUCCAAUCUGAUGCUGCUCUGUUGGCUUUUUUCAUCAUUUUGGGUUCAGCGUCCUGAGAGACGGUUAGGUCUGGCUUUAGGUGGGUGAUACUGCUGCAGUUUCACCAAAGCAGAGAAGAGCAGCCUCAGUCAUAGGAGACUAACUGCCCACUUCUGCUCCGAGUAGAUGAAAUAAAAUGGUGAUCAAGAGCACACAGACUGGGCUAGAGGUGCACCAGUUUCAGCCAACAGCAUAUUUCAAAAGCAAUACUGGAAUUGGUCUAAUAUUACGUCUGCCCACAUGUAGCUGAUGUGUUUUCCUGUAGAAGUAGACGGUUUAAAACUGUUACACUAGCAGCAAAUGUAUCACGGUCCGUUAAAAAUAUGUAUUUAAUUAGCUUGAGGUGGAGACAUCUUAAAAGCAUAACCAGUUUUGCAUAUGCAUUUGUACUAAGAUUUAGAGAAAAAAAAAGACAUAUCAUUACAUCAGGCAACAGGCGGAAUUAUACAGCAGAUUGGUACCAUAUCAGUGCAUCACUACAUCUUAGGGUCUGUUGGACUCGUGGUUUAGUUCUCUCUGAUCCUGAGGUUAGUCACAACCCAAAGGAAGCCCAAACUAUUCUACAGAGUUGGAACAAGAUGUGUUUGACCUCUGGUAUUCUAGUAGUGAUCUAGUACUAUUGCUGGUAAUUUAGUACUGUACACAGUGACAACAACUGCCUAGAUCCAGUAUUAGUGUUUAGUCAAACUGUGUUCAAAUUUACAUGGAGUUAAAAAAAAAAAAAAAAGAAAAGAAAACAAGCACAGACAGACUGAGCUUUUUAAAUGUGUUUUUACAAGUGGGGCUAAAGACACUGACUUCAUAUUUACAGCAUAAAGUCCGACAUUUAGAAUCUAUUGAAGUCUACAAGAGGAGCAUGACAUAGGUAAUGGCAGAGGUGAGGCUCCCUGUAUUUUGUUGCUGAGGACAUUGAUUAAACGUGGUUAAUUUCCUGCUUCCCUGUUUUGAAAACAGGUUGUUUUGUGUCAAGCUGCACUUUAAAAUGACACGGUUUGAAAUAUUAUGUAAGCAUAUAUUCCGCUCAAAGUGUCAAAGGAUGGCAUUUUUAUUUACAAACAGCAAAAACAGGUCUGUGGUUGUGUUUGUCUCUCUCUUUCUCUGUUAUGUACUCUCCUUUGAUUGUCUUUUUUCUGGGCUCAGUCAGUUUUUUCCUCUCACUCUUUGCUUUGCCCUCCUAUGCCACCUGUCGUUGUUGAGACUACUGCUGUGCGUAUCUUGUCAGGUGUUGGAUAUUAUUUAUGACCUUGUCUUGUGUCCCGACUGUGAAACGCCUGAUAAAACAUCUAUAUCUGCCACAAAUACACAAUCUGUGAGGCUCUCUUCUUCACCCGCCUUGUAAUCACUCGUAAGAUAGUGGCUCGUACACGUACCGAGCUUCAGGGGUAGAUUCAGCUCCAAAAAUGCAGUCUUUUGUCAUAUGCAUGUUCACACCCAAGUAGUGAAC